rnacentral:rRNA from 1 species
GAUGAACGCUGGCGGCGUGCCUAACACAUGCAAGUCGAGCGGAGUCAUAAGCAGAUUCUUCGGAUGAUAUUUAUGACUUAGCGGCGGAUGGGUGAGUAACACGUGGGUAAUCUGCCCUGCACAGGGGGAUAACAGCUGGAAACGGCUGUUAAUACCGCAUAUGCACACGUUAUCGCAUGAUAGAGUGUGGAAAGAUUUAUCGGUGCAGGAUGAGCCCGCGUCGGAUUAACUGGUUGGCAGGGUAACGGCCUACCAAGGCGACGAUCGGUAGCCGGCCUGAGAGGGUGGACGGCCACAUUGGGACUGAGACACGGCCCAGACUCC